GCAUAAUCAAUUGCCUUUUAAUUAAAGGCUAGUAUGAAUGGACACACAAGAAUAAAGCUGUCUCAUCUAGAACUUCCAUAAUCUGUACGACAGGUGAAAAUUCCUGUAUCAUAAUAAAAGACAAGAAGACCCUAUAGAGCUUCAUCUAUAAAAGCUAAACACUUAACUAUAGAAUUAGUUGGGACAACUAAAAAACAUUUACACCUUUUUAUUUCACUACAUAAACCCAUUAAUGUAAAAGAACAUA
rnacentral:rRNA from 1 species